AGUUCCUUAGUGUAGUGGUUAUCACGUUUCCUUUACACGGAAAAGGUCGUGGGUUCAAUCCCCACAGGGACUA